rnacentral:rRNA from 1 species
AGACGGGUGAGUAAUGCAUAGGAAUCUACCUAGUAGUAUGGGAUAGCCACUAGAAAUGGUGGGUAAUACUGUAUAAUCCCUGCGGGGGUAAGAUUUAUCGCUAUUAGAUGAGCCUAUGUUAGAUUAGCUAGUUGGUAGGGUAAAGGCCUACCAAGGCAGUGAUCUAUAGCUGGUCUGAGAGGAUGAUCAGCCACACUGGAACUGAGAUACGGUCCAGACUCCUACGGGAGGCAGCAGUGGGGAAUAUUGGACAAUGGGCGCAAGCCUGAUCCAGCUAUGCCGCGUGAGUGAGGAAGGCCUUAGGGUUGUAAAACUCUUUCAGUAGGGAAGAUAAUGACGGUACCUACAGAAGAGGUCCCGGCAAAC